rnacentral:sRNA from 1 species
UAACAAGGAUAAAAUACUUAGGCUUUUAAGAUCCGGUUGCAGUUCUAGUUGUUAUACUCACUCAUACACCUGACAUCAAGUCAUAUUUGACUCUAAAACACUAACCAAGCUUCUUCUUGCUUCUCAAAGCUUUGAUGGUGUAGCCGUAGUCCGUAUGAGUCUUUGUCUUUGUAUCUUCUAACAAGGAUACAAUACUUAGGCUUUUAAGAUCUCGUUACGGUUCUAGUUGUUAUACUCACUCAUACACAUGACAUCUAGUCAUC